GCGGGGUUGAGUGCCCAGUGUUUGGAGUAAGCGCCAUGUAGGUCCUGAAAUCUCUCAAUUACCUACUGGCUGGUGGCCAAGAUACACUUGCUGAGCCUGGGUCCCCCUGCUCUAAAAUACGGUCAGGGUCCCCAUUCCGCCUGGCAACAGGCCCUGAAGUACUCCCCGAAGUUCUACUUCACCGCCUCCUAGCCUGACCACCGUUCUCUUGGGAAGCUGCAGGUUAUCUGGUCUGUCUGUACUCGCAGAGAUCCAAUUCACAUGGGCACCAUUCAGGGAGCUUCUAAGUGAUCAGCCCCGGGUGAGAUUCUAACUACUUAGCCUGAAGUGCAAACACUGGUCCACACCAGGCUCAGCCCCAUGACCGAGACGGCUCUUCUGAAGACUCCGCAAUCACAGGCGAAAGGUAAAGGGCAGAGGAAAGGGAAGCUGACCCGGGAGCUGCAAAUCAUAGGAAAUUUGAGGCUGUCUGCCACCCAAGAUCCGGAAGCAUGGCAGGUAAAGAAGGCCUCUCUAGAUGACAAGUGUCAAGUGCUCGCAAGUACUGUGUAUAACUCACACCGGCAAAGGGCAUCGGAAUGUCAGAGCGUGUCCUCAAGGAGGGCCACCUGAGUGUGGGAACACUCGGCCACCAUCCCUGGGCUGCUGGUGAGAAAUGGAGCCAUGCUCUGGACUAGUCCCUGCCCUUUCCACCCCCAACUUCAGGACAGCCAAAGACGGCGAACUAGGAAGCAUUCUCAGCUGUUACGUUGCCCCUUUCUGGCUUGUGAAAGAAGGAACACAGGGAACAAAUGGGUAGGAAGGGAAGGUUGGAUGUCCAGCAACAACAUUAUGCUCACAGGAAAAUGUCAAGGUCAUUAGGGAAAUACGACAAACGCAAAGCAGAUAGAAAUGAACUAAUGGUUUACAUUUGGCAGCCAUGAGGCUGCAAACCUAUCCUUCUUCUAGAAUAAAUACUGUAAAUGACUUGA